rnacentral:rRNA from 1 species
UGGGGAAUUUUGGACAAUGGGCGAAAGCCUGAUCCAGCAAUGCCGCGUGUGUGAAGAAGGCCUUCGGGUUGUAAAGCACUUUUGUCCGGAAAGAAAUCCUCUGGGUUAAUACCUCGGGGGGAUGACGGUACCGGAAGAAUAAGCACCGGCUAACUACGUGCCAGCAGCCGCGGUAAUACGUAGGGUGCAAGCGUUAAUCGGAAUUACUGGGCGUAAAGCGUGCGCAGGCGGUUUUGUAAGACGGAUGUGAAAUCCCCGGGCUUAACCUGGGAACUGCAUUCGUGACUGCAAGGCUAGAGUAUGGCAGAGGGGGGUAGAAUUCCACGUGUAGCAGUGAAAUGCGUAGAGAUGGUGGAGGAAUACCGAUGGCGAAGGCAGCCCCCUGGGCCAAUACUGACGCUCAUGCACGAAAGCGUGGGGAGCAAACAGGAUUAGAUACCCUGGUAGUCCACGCCCUAAACGAUGUCAACUAGUUGUUGGGGAUUCAUUUCCUUAGUAACGUAGCUAACGCGUGAAGUUGACCGCCUGGGGGAGUACGGUCGCAAGAUU